rnacentral:rRNA from 1 species
CUACGGGGUGCACCAGUGGGGAAUAUUGGACAAUGGGGGAAACCCUGAUCCAGUAAUGCCGCGUGUGUGAAGAAGGCCUGCGGGUUGUAAAGCACUUUCGGUUGGGAGGACUGCUUCUAGCACUAAUAUUGUUGGAAGUUGACGUUACCUUCAGAAGAAGCACCGGCUAACUCCGUGCCAGCAGCCACGGUAAUACGGAGGGUGCAAGCGUUAAUCGGGAUUACUGGGCGUAAAGCGCGCGUAGGCGGCUAGAUCAGUCGGGUGUGAAAGCCCCGGGCUUAACCUGGGAACUGCAUCCGAUACUGUCUAGCUUGAGUACAGGAGAGGAGAGUGGAAUUCCACAUGUAGCGGUGAAAUGCGUAGAUAUGUGGAGGAACACCAAUGGCGAAGGCAGCUCUCUGGCCUGAUACUGACGCUGAGGUGCGAAAGCGUGGGGAGCAAACAGGAUUAGAUACCCUCGUAGUC